AAAGGGAGACCUAAUUCGGGUAUAAGACGAAAAAAUAGUAGUCGAAACCAAGAAUCAAUCCCAAAAGGUCGGAACGAGGUAUGUGGCUUUCAAACUAGGUUCUGGGUUCAUAAAAGACCUGAAUCAGGAACAAGGGCUAUUAGCUCAGGUGGUUAGAGCGCACCCCUGAUAAGGGUGAGGUCCCUGGUUCGAGUCCAGGAUGGCCCACCUGCACAGGUGGCAAAAACAAAGAAGCGAGGAAUCAGCACCUUAUCUUACUUACAUAGUAAGAGAGAAUGCUGGCUCUGAGUAAAGAGUCCAGAGGAACCUUGAAAACUGCAUAGAGCUAGGUGAAAAAGCCAAAAAAGAAGACCGCAAG
rnacentral:tRNA from 1 species